rnacentral:rRNA from 1 species
UUUAACGAGAGUUUGAUCCUGGCUCAGGAUGAACGCUGGCGGCGUGCUUAACACAUGCAAGUCGAGCGAAGCACUUUUGCGGAUUUCUUCGGAUUGAAGCAAUUGUGACUGAGCGGCGGACGGGUGAGUAACGCGUGGGUAACCUGCCUCAUACAGGGGGAUAACAGUUGGAAACGGCUGCUAAUACCGCAUAAGCGCACAGUACCGCAUGGUACCGUGUGAAAAACUCCGGUGGUAUGAGAUGGACCCGCGUCUGAUUAGCUAGUUGGUGGGGUAACGGCCUACCAAGGCGACGAUCAGUAGCCGACCUGAGAGGGUGACCGGCCACAUUGGGACUGAGACACGGCCCAAACUCCUACGGGAGGCAGCAGUGGGGAAUAUUGCACAAUGGGGGAAACCCUGAUGCAGCGACGCCGCGUGAGCGAUGAAGUAUUUCGGUAUGUAAAGCUCUAUCAGCAGGGAAGAAAAUGACGGUACCUGACUAAGAAGCCCCGGCUAACUACGUGCCAGCAGCCGCGGUAAUACGUAGGGGGCAAGCGUUAUCCGGAUUUACUGGGUGUAAAGGGAGCGUAGACGGCAUGGCAAGCCAGAUGUGAAAGCCCGGGGCUCAACCCCGGGACUGCAUUUGGAAC